rnacentral:rRNA from 1 species
AUGAGAUUGAGGAGCAUAAAUGGACUGCGGUGCAAGCAGCUUAAACUCGUCCUUCUUGCUUUCUUCAAAAUGUUUAUUCUCUGGAAAUGGGAGGAAGGAACAUACUACAAUGCUGAAGAUAUCCACCCAGAUUCAUUGGUUGUGUCUCAUCCAGCUAACUCAAAGUUUGUAGAUCAGCAUACAUCUUCAGAUGAAGACUUCCCAAGUGUAGAUUCAUUGCCACAGUCAGGUGUUCAGGUAGGAAGUUACCGGCGCACCACCACUAGUGCCACUUGUCGGUGUUCCUGCUAA